AGUUAAUUAGUUUAAAUAAAACAUAUAUUUUGAAAAUAUAAAAUAGGAACCCUUAUUAACUU
rnacentral:tRNA from 1 species